UUUUAAAAAAUUAGGAAGCGGGUACGUGUUGGAAGCGUAAAUAUAUAUAUAUAUAUAUAUAUAUAUAUAUAUAUAUAUAUUUAUUUAUUUAUAGAUUUAUUGAAUAUUUAAUUUACUUUACACUAAUCUUUCAUUCGAAUAAUAGAAAAUCAAAUGAUUACAGAAACUUAAUUAAUAAGCUUCUCAAAACCCUAACGCCACCACUACUCUGCUUCUACGGAAAAAAAGUCAAAGACUUUUUUGACCCAAGGAUUAGAGAGAGAAAGGCACUGAGUAGAGAGAGAGAGAGUGUGUUGUGUAGUAAAUGAGACGAGAGAUUGGUGGUGAAAGGAGUCAGCUUUGCAUUUAUUAUCAUCAUCUUCUUCUCUAAAAUCUUCCCAAAAAAUAAAAAAAAUACAGAGCAAAAGCUUUCACAAAAUUCAUCUUCUUCCUUUCACAAUUUUGGGAUCUGACUGUUUGUUUGAAAAUUCUGCUAAUUCUCUUCCGUGAAAGUCGUUUACUUUUUUGUGGGUUUUGUGAAAGUUUCCGUUUUUAGUGGCUUCUCUUGAUCUUCUUCAAGAUCUUCACUUUUUAGGGUGUUUUUCCUCUUAUGGGCUAGAGAUCAACACCAGCGACGCUUCCGAUCUACCGCAACGGCGCUUCCAACUCUGAAUCGUCGCUUCCACGACGCUUCCAAACGCUUCAUUUUGGGAAUCGCGAUUCCAACGCGAUUCCGAGCGCUUCCGAUGCGCUUCCGCUUCGCUUCCGCUUCCGGAGCGAGAAACGUAGCUUCACAGACGAUUCCGUGCUUCGUAGUUAAUUUGUAUGUUUUCUUGGUAUAAACUUAUGUUUGCAAUAUUUGGUAUUAAUAAGCAUAUUUUGUAAAUAUAUUGUUUGUAUUAAUUUUGUAUGUUUUCUUGGUAUAAACUUAUAUUUUGUAAACUUAUGUUUGCACUUCAAGCAAUAUUUUGUAUGUUUUCUUCCUAUUCAAUAUCACUUAAAAACUCAUUAAUUUUGUAUGUUUUCUUGUUAUAAACUCAUAAAUU
rnacentral:lncRNA from 1 species